rnacentral:miRNA from 1 species
AGAUGAUGAUGAUGAUGAUGAUGAUGAUGAUGAUAAAGGGAACGAAGGAGUGAUGGAUCCGUUGUUCUCAUUGAUCAUCAUUAUCACGAUUA